UUAGGAUAUUUGUGUUGUCUGGAGUGUUCAGAGGUUAGCCGGACAGUCUCCAUGGAGGAGAAGUCUGGCCUUUUCGCCGAGGCCAGCCUGCCGCUGGAGGGAUCCUGUUGUCUGCAGAUCCGGGACC